rnacentral:rRNA from 1 species
GUUGACCUCGGAUCAGGUAGGAAUACCCGCUGAACUUAAGCAUAUCAAUAAGCGGAGGAAAAGAAACCAACAGGGAUUGCCUCAGUAACGGCGAGUGAAGCGGCAACAGCUCAAAUUUGAAAUCUGGCCCCAGGCCCGAGUUGUAAUUUGCAGAGGAUGCUUUUGGUGCGGUGCCUUCCAAGUUCCCUAGAACGGGACGCCAGAGAGGGUGAGAGCCCCGUACAGUUGGACACCAAGCCUUUGUAAAGCUCCUUCGACGAGUCGAGUAGUUUGGGAAUGCUGCUCAAAAUGGGAGGUAUAUUUCUUCUAAAGCUAAAUACCGGCCAGAGACCGAUAGCGCACAAGUAGAGUGAUCGAAAGAUGAAAAGCACUUUGAAAAGAGGGUUAAACAGCACGUGAAAUUGUUAAAAGGGAAGCGCUUGUGACCAGACUUGCGUCCGGUGAAUCACCCAGCUCUCGCGGCUGGGGCACUUCGCCGGCUCAGGCCAGCAUCAGCUCGCUGUCGGGGACAAAAGCUUCAGGAACGUAGCUCUCUUCGGGGAGUGUUAUA